rnacentral:lncRNA from 1 species
AUGUGCUUUCAAUUCUAUUACCCUAAAAAGUGGGGAAGAAAGGCUCCUCCUUACCAUUUGCAUUAUACUGUUCUUUCAUGAUAGGAUGUUGCAGCAAAGAAUCAAGAGGACGCCUUGUUGAAAGCUAAGCCUGUUGCUGGAGCAAACAGAUCUUUUGCCAGAGCAAUGACUCAACACACCACAAGGCAACUGAGUCUUGCUGCUCUCCAGAGACUGUGGUUAGAAAUACGUCACCAGCGGGAGCAUCAUUAAUCACAAAUGUAGGAGUGACAGUCAGUUUCUUGACCUCAUUGAGACAGGCAGGGAGGUCAUAGCUUCAAGCAGUUCAUUCUUCAGGCAAGGAAAACUAUUGGGAAGAUUUCCUUUUUGUUAUCGCUGGCAUUUUUAUUUAAUCCCAUCAUUUUCCCCACAGUCUGGGC